rnacentral:rRNA from 1 species
ACUCGAGUGGCGAACGGGUGGGUAACACGUGGGUAAUCUGCCCUGCACUCUGGGAUAAGCCUGGGAAACUGGGUCUAAUACUGGAUAUGACCUUUCUCCUUAUGGGGUUUGGUGGAAAGUUUUUCGGUGUAGGAUGAGCCCGCGGCCUAUCAGCUUGUUGGUGGGGUGAUGGCCUACCAAGGCGACGACGGGUAGCCGGCCUGAGAGGGUGAUCGGCCACAUUGGGACUGAGAUACGGCCCAG